AUAUUGCACAAUGGGGGAAACCCUGAUGCAGCGACGCCGCGUGAGUGAAGAAGUAUUUCGGUAUGUAAAGCUCUAUCAGCAGGGAAGAAAAUGACGGUACCUGAUUAAGAAGCCCCGGCUAACUACGUGCCAGCAGCCGCGGUAAUACGUAGGGGGCAAGCGUUAUCCGGAUUUACUGGGGGUAAAGGGAGCGUAGACGGUGAUGCAAGUCAGAAGUGAAAGCCCGGGGCCCAACCCCGGGACUGCUCUUGGAACUGCGCGGCUGGAGUGCAGGAGGGGCAGGCGGAAUUCCUGGUGUAGCGGUAAAAUGCGUAGAUAUCAGGAGGAACACCGGUGGCGAAGGCGGCCUGCUGGACUGCGACUGACGUUGAGGCCCGAAAGCGUGGGGAGCAAACAGG
rnacentral:rRNA from 1 species